rnacentral:tRNA from 2 species
UCCCUGGUGGUCCAGUGGUUAAGACUCUGUGCUUCUACUGCAGAGGACACAGGUUCAAACCCUGAUUGGGGAA